rnacentral:rRNA from 1 species
GACGUAGGGGGACGAGCGUUUGUCCGGAUUCAUUUGGGCGUAAAAGCGCGCGUAGGCGGUUCGGUAAGUCGGGUGUGAAAACACGAGGCUCAACCUCGUGCGUGCAUCCGAUACUGCCGGACUAGAGGUAGGUAGGGGAGAUCGGAAUUCCUGGUGUAGCGGUGAAAAUGCGCAGAUAUCAGGAGGAACACCGGUGGCGAAGGCGGAUCUCUGGGCCUUACCUGACGCUCAGGCGCGAAAGCUAGGGGGAGCAAACAGG